rnacentral:rRNA from 1 species
UACGUAGGGUGCGAGCGUUGAUCGGAAUUACUGGGCGUAAAGCGCGCGCAGGCGGUUUUGUAAGUCAGAUGUGAAAUCCCCGGGCUUAACCUGGGAAUGGCAUUUGGGACUGCAAGGCUGGAGUGUGGCAGAGGAGACUGGAAUUCCUGGUGUAGCAGUGAAAUGCGUAGAUAUCAGGAGGAAUACCGAUGGCGAAGGCAGGUCUCUGGGCUGACACUGACGCUCAUGCACGAAAGCGUGGGGAGCAAACAGG